UAUCUAUGUAGAAGAUCCCAAAGAAUCUACAAAUAUGUGACCAGAACUAAGAAGGAAGCAAGGUUGCAGAAUACAAGGAUAUAAUACACAUUUAUUGUUUAAAAAAAUUGGAAAAUACAGUAAAGCACGGAGAAAAUAAAAUUCAUCAGUAGUAACCCCACCGACAACAAGAGGAAACAACAUCACUUCACCUCGGCAGGCUCUCAGGAGGUUCUGACAGUAAGCAGUUCGCAGUCCCCUUUUCAGAGUGAGUAAAAUUGUUUAUACACGUACUCCUGUGCCUCCUGAGAGGCCAGCCUGAAUGUACACUGUGCUGGGCACGCCCUGGGGCCACCAAAGGUGAUAAGGGCCUGGCCAUUGUCCCCAAAGUCCAGGCCGCUCUCGAAGCAGCUGGGCAGGAUGGUGGUACAGGGCCUGGGUCAUCCUUUGAGAGCACAGCAAAGACUAAGUCUACAAAGUACACGUCAAAAAGUGCGAGAGUUAAAUGUUCAAAAUGAGAUCAUAAAAGUACGAGAAAGACAUUGCUUGAAUCAGCCUCUCUUGUCUGACUGUGACAUUAUAAAGGAGGUUCCCCUUUCAGCAUCUGUGACACCUGGGUGUACAACUUUUCCUUUCCUCUCUGAAGUUCAGUUUGGUUUUUCUUAGGUUCCUACGAAGCUUGGAAAGUAGGUAGAGAUUUGGAUUUUCAUUAUUUUCAUAUAUAUCCUCAAUAAAGCCAUUAGGUGAGUUUCUUUAAAAGCUAUAACACGGUAUGAAUACUAUGAUCUCAUUUCUCUACAAAAUAAUGUGCAAAAUGAAAAAAAACUAGGAUAUUCUUUAAGAUUAACAUUGAUUUUCUUUGAGUGGUGAGAUAACAUGUAUUUCAAUUUUCUUUUUUGGGCAUUUCUGUCUUUUUGACAUUUUCUGUUAAUAAGUAGGAUUUUAAUAAUCGGGAAAAAUUCCAAUGCGUGUGAUUCGAAUAACAUAGAAAAGAAAUCUCUCCAGCACAAGACUGUUCUAAACAGGUAAGCAGCACCUCUUCCUUGGUUCUGCGUUCUGGAGGGGAAAGGUGGGCUGUGGAGCUGUAGCAGCACUGUGGUAGUAGAACAGCAGAUUCUAGGUCUCCUGGUGCUUGGGUGUCUUACCUGGGAUUUCUGGAGUACAUGCUGGCAUAUUCUUCCUUGACCUCCUCUAAGCUGUUUACAUUCCCAUCCUCCAGGUUGAAGGAUUCUAUGAGGGAAGUUGAAGUCAAGGGUCACACAUGAUAAAGUUGGGACUUUGUCCAGUCUCUCCUGCCUUUCUGGCCUGGGUGGACCGUGGGUGGUCGCUGAGCCCACCCAGGUUCAGUGUUAGGGAGUCAAGAGCCCAUUUUCACCUCUCCUUUUAGGUGUGGGGGGAGAGCACUAGAACAGGGGAAGAGUUUCUUGAACUGGACUUUCUCAGUUAAGACAUGGAAAGUACCCCUUUCAGAAUUCGGCUUCCACUAGCUUAUGAAACCCAAAUUCCCAGCCAGCCAUGUCUCCCAGCCUGAGUGCAAGGAAGGGAGACAGCUUCUGCCCUUUGCUUUUGAGUUGGCCAGGCCCCAGUCCACUUCUCUGGCCUCUCUGACCUGAGGAGUUCAGGCACCCUUCAACAGCACCUAGGAAGGAACUCAUCAUGCUCACACAGCCCGCUGACGUCUGUCUGUCCUGCCAGACGCUAAGCUCCCUGAGGACAGGGGCAUGGAUCUCACCGUACCCCUGGCCCAGGUGCAGUGGCACACAGUAGGCUCUCAAUAAAUACAUGUUCACUUGGCUUAACCCAAUCUCCCUGUUUUCAAUAGAAAAACAAACCAGCCCUUUCCUGGGAGGUAGAGGGGUGGCAGGUAGGGAUCUCUUACCUUUCAGCUUCAGCAGAUUAUCCAAGGUUUGUUCCAGUUCCUGAAUAUGAUUCUUCGCCCUAUUCAAAACCUGCCACUGAGGACAGAGACAGACAGUGCGGAAAAGUCAGGCUCCCACCACAGAGAUGGUUUUGCGGACACAGGAGCCCCUUUCCCGGCCUGAGGCCACCCUCCCUCGGGGGCAAAGCCCCAGUCCUUGACGCUGUCGACAGAAAAGACACCCGAUGCCUGUCAGGAGUCCCACACCUUCAUCAGGAAUGUAUGAGGGCAAAGCUGUUUGCUCAGCCCCGGGGACACAGAGUAAACAAGACAGCCCUGCUUUCAGGCCGCUGACAUUCUAACAGGGAAGAUGAGCAUGGAAACAACCACUCAACACACAAAACACUUAACAACUACGUGUAACCCGCGCUAGAAUUCAGUAAGCGCCGCAAAGCGCUGUGGGAACGCACGGCAGCGGGAGGAGGGGCCCAUCUAACUGGAGGGCUCGAUGGAGCAGGGCAUCUGCGCAGCUGAGCUCAGCUGAGCCCCGGAUUAUGCAUGGACUCUGAAGGGCUGGGGGACGCAGGCCUCGCUCAGGGAGCUGCGGAAAGAAAGGAGAUGGGGAGGCGGUGGGAGAGGACGCCACAGCAGCCAGGGGCCCACAGCCCAGGGGCUGCCAUUCUAGACUCCCGCUGCCCUGGCUGGUGCGCAAGAAGACUUGAGGGGCGCUCACAGCACAGCGCUCUGCAGACCCAAAAGACAGCGACAGGAGAACACGGUGGACUACAGGACCUCCUUUAGCGCAGGGGCCACCUGCUGUCUUACACCAUCUGCUGCCCCCGGCCCACCCCGGCUUCAGGAUUAUACCGUUGGGUCAGCAAGGACUCUGUCCCCUCUUCGGACACGAGGGGCUGACAGGUGGCCCGAACCUCAGGCUUGUUCUUAGAGUGAGGUGAGGACUUUCUAGUCCUCUGGUCCAGGCCGGUCAGCUGUGUCCACACAGCCGGGCCACCCCACGCUCACCUCGCAGUCUCACUACGUCAACUGGACCAGCAUAGAGCCAGGUAAGCCGGGUGCGAUUCAUUGAAAUUCUGUUUCUAGAACGGUUUUGGCAGGCUGAUGUUCUUAGGACCUUUCUCUGGGUUGAAUUGUGUUCCCCUAAAAAAGAUAUGUUGAAGUCCUAACCCCCAAACUUGUGAGUGUGACCUUAUUUGGAAAUAGGGUCUUUCUAGAGGUAAUCAAGUUAAAAAGAGGUCAUUAGGGUGAGCCCUAAUCCAGUAUGACCAGUGUCCUUAUGAAAAGGGGGAAUUUGGAUGCAGAGACAGACACACACAGAGGGAAGACAAUAUGAAGACACAGGGAGAAGACGGCCAUGUAACUGGAGUGAUGGCUCUGUAAGCCAGGGAACGCCAAGGAUUGCCAGCAAAUGCCGGAAGCCAGAAGAGGCAAGGAAGUCUUCUCGCCUAGAGCCGUCAGAGGGAGC